GAAACGACUGCUAAGACUGGAUAGGAGACAAGAGGGCAUCUUCUUGUUUUUAAAAGACCUAGCAAUAGGUAUGCUUAGGGAGGAGCUUGCGUCACAUUAGUUAGUUGGUGGGGUAAAGGCCUACCAAGACUAUGAUGUGUAGCCGGGCUGAGAGGUUGAACGGCCACAUUGGGACUGAGACACGGCCCAAACUCCUACGGGAGGCAGCAGUAGGGAAUUUUCGGCAAUGGAGGAAACUCUGACCGAGCAACGCCGCGUGAACGAUGAAGUAUUUCGGUACGUAAAGUUCUUUUAUUAGGGAAGAAUAAAUGAUGGAAAAAUCAUUCUGACGGUACCUAAUGAAUAAGCCCCGGCUAACUAUGUGCCAGCAGCCGCGGUAAUACAUAGGGGGCAAGCGUUAUCCGGAAUUAUUGGGCGUAAAGGGUGCGUAGGCGGUUAAAUAAGUUUAUGGUCUAAGUGCAAUGCUCAACAUUGUGAUGCUAUAAAAACUGUUUAGCUAGAGUAAGAUAGAGGCAAGUGGAAUUCCAUGUGUAGUGGUAAAAUGCGUAAAUAUAUGGAGGAACACCAGUAGCGAAGGCGGCUUGCUGGGUCUUUACUGACGCUGAGGCACGAAAGCGUGGGGAGCAAACAGGAUUAGAUACCCUGGUAGUCCACGCCGUAAACGAUGAGUACUAAACGUUGGGUAAAACCAGUGUUGAAGUUAACACAUUAAGUACUCCGCCUGAGUAGUACGUACGCAAGUAUGAAACUUAAAGGAAUUGACGGGACUCCGCACAAGCGGUGGAUCAUGUUGUUUAAUUCGAAGGUACCCGAAAAACCUCACCAGGUCUUGACAUGCUUCUGCAAAGCUGUAGAAACACAGUGGAGGUUAUCAGUUGCACAGGUGGUGCAUGGUUGUCGUCAGCUCGUGUCGUGAGAUGUUGGGUUAAGUCCCGCAACGAGCGCAACCCUUAUUGUUAGUUACCAGCACGUAAUGGUGGGGACUUUAGCAAGACUGCCAGUGAUAAAUUGGAGGAAGGUGGGGACGACGUCGAAUCAUCAUGCCCCUUAUGACCUGGGCUACAAACGUGAUACAAUGGCUGUUACAAAGGGUAGCUGAAGCGCAAGUUUUUGGCGAAUCUCAAAAAAACAGUCUCAGUUCGGAUUGAAGUCUGCAACUCGACUUCAUGAAGUUGGAAUCGCUAGUAAUCGCGAAUCAGCAUGUCGCGGUGAAUACGUUCACGGGGUUUGUACACACCGCCCGUCAAAUCAC
rnacentral:rRNA from 2 species